UCUCCAGGGUCCAAGUCAAGGAUAGACUGAAAACUUACCCAGAGGAAAAUGAGACUGGUGGUAAAGCCUGAGGGACCUGUCACCUGUACUCCUACACUUAGGGACAAUGGAAGUGUGAAACAGCAGUGGCUUUCCCCAAGACAUGCAGCCCAGUGUACAGGAUCCUUCUCACUCCAACCCACCUUGAUGCCACUAAGUGCUUAGAAAAGGAGAAUCAGUGCAUGAAGUUCUGGGGAGUGGGAGGGGACAUAUUGCCUUUUCCCAGCUUCUCUCCACCCCCACAAAACUCCCAUCUUCUACUUCUCUCACCUUGUACUCCUGCACCACCUCCUCCAAUGGCACCACGCUGUGCUGUUUGUGGCUCCUGGAUUCUCGACACACCACACAUAUGGCCUCUUCAUCCACCUCGCAGAAGAGCUUCAGGGCUUCCUGGUGUUUGGGACAAAUGCCCUGCUCGUUCCCACGGCUCCCUCGAC
rnacentral:lncRNA from 1 species